rfam:Candidatus Omnitrophica bacterium CG1_02_40_15 cg1_0.2_scaffold_1596_c, whole genome shotgun sequence.
GUCCCUGUAGCUCAGUUGGAUAGAGCAACUGCCUUCUAAGCAGUGGGUCGGCCGUUCGAAUCGGCCCAGGGACA